ensembl:lncRNA
AUAAUCAAUCUUUUUUACCCCCCUGGACUGAUAGAACUUACUUUGUCUGGAGGAAGAAGGGCUUAAAGUCCAUCAAAGACCUUUAUGUUUAGGGAAGGUUUGCAUCCUUUAGCCAGUUAAGAGAGAAAUUUGAUUUGUCUCAUGCACACUUCUUUCGUCAUCUACAAAUUAGCCAUUAUGUAAAGCCCAAAAUUGGUUUGUUUAUUUGAAAGCUGCCAAUACUGAGAGAUUUAAAGCAGCCUAGGAGGAAGACCUGGGAGCUCUCUGACGAUAUGUGGGAUAAGUGUCUGGCUACGAUACAGUGUGUGACCGGUGCAAGCUGGCAGAGGAUGCAACUUCUCAUGGCUACCUAGUGGCUACUCUGAGGCUAAAGCUGUACAUCUUUCUGGGCACCUUGACUGAUUGAUUUGUAGGUUUUUACUAUUGUACUUUUGGCUACUGAACCAAAUAUUUAUUGUCAUUAUCAUUAUAAUUUAAUUAUUAUUAUUAUAGGUUUUUUUCUCUGCUUGUGUGGUCCGAGACAGUGUUGUUUGUCUGUUCUGUGUUUAUUUUUGAAAAACCCUUAAAAAUAAAGUAUUCCAAAAAUUGUUUUUAUUGCAAAUCCGCUUGCCAUAGUAGGCCAUGUAUUGACGAUUAGAGGACACCACGUGGCAGCUGUUGGACACUACACAUUAAACGAUCUGGUGGUAAAACAUAUCAACAUGCAUCUCCUUUACUAAAUGUUAUGUCUUCCUCUUUCAGACUCAAUAAUGUCAGACUAAAUCUGCAUUUUGAAUAAAGCAAACAAUAAGCAGUGAGGUCUGUUGCUGUUUGGAUCUGUGGAAGACGCAAGUUCAAAUAAUGAUGAAUCCUUAUAAACUGAAAAAAGU